UCGCAAAAGGCAAUAAGUAUUCCACGUGGGGAGUAACGUUCGCAAGAAUGAAACUCAAAGGAAUUGACGGGACCCGCACAAGCGGUGGAGCAUGUGGUUUAAUUGGAAGCAACGCGAAGAACCUUACCAGGUCUUGACAUCCCUGUGACCGGUCCUUAACCGGGCCUUUCCUUCGGGACAGAGGAGACAGGUGGUGCAUGGUUGUCGUCAGCUCGUGUCGUGAGAUGUUGGGUUAAGUCCCGCAACGAGCGCAACCCCUAUCCCUUAGUAGCCAGCAGUUCGGCUGGGCACUCUAGGGAGACUGCCAGGGAUAACCUGGAGGAAGGCGGGGAUGACGUCAAAUCAUCAUGCCCCUUAUGAUCUGGGCUACACACGUGCUACAAUGGUGGCUACAAAGAGAAGCAACCUCGCGAGAGUGAGCAAAUCUCAGAAAGGCCAUCCCAGUUCGGAUUGUAGUCUGCAACUCGACUACAUGAAGCUGGAAUCGCUAGUAAUCGCGAAUCAGAAUGUCGCGGUGAAUACGUUCCCGG
rnacentral:rRNA from 1 species